rnacentral:rRNA from 1 species
CAGUCGCCGCGGGAAUACGUAGGGUCCGAGCGUUGUCCGGAAUUACUGGGCGUAAAGAGCUCGUAGGUGGUUUGUCGCGUUGUUCGUGAAAACUCACAGCUCAACUGUGGGCGUGCGGGCGAUACGGGCAGACUAGAGUACUGCAGGGGAGACUGGAAUUCCUGGUGUAGCGGUGGAAUGCGCAGAUAUCAGGAGGAACACCGGUGGCGAAGGCGGGUCUCUGGGCAGUAACUGACGCUGAGGAGCGAAAGCGUGGGGAGCGAACAGGAUUAGAUACCCGUGUAGUCCCUGUCUCUUAUAC